UUCUGACAUUAAGUCCUAAGUUUGGUUUAGGUACCGGAUUAGGCUUGAUGUGUAUUUUGUUAGUGUAGGCCUGACAUUGGCAUGUAUGUGUUUGAGGGAUUGCUUGUGAAGGGUGGUGGAUAUUGAAGCUAUGCGGUAUCAUUGGUUGGCCGAUCAUGUUCUUGUUUGAUUGUUGGUCGACCGGCUCAUGAUACUUGUAUAGUCUAAGUGUCUAACACUACAUGAGUACUGAACUCAGGCGUAUAUAUGGUUAACUAAGGAUUUGUUGUUGACUUGUUUUAAAUGCAGGUUCCCGUUACUUGAAGCUAGAUCAUGGCAGGAGUCCAAGUCUAACUUAGUAACGGUUUGCUUAGCCUUAGCUUAUAUUGCAUGCUAGGGCUAGAUUGAUUGUUAUUUUGGGUUGUUUGGGUUAGAGUCUAGUUUGCGGGUAGAGGCCGCCAGCUCACUGAGUAAUACUAGAUUACUCAUCCAACUCUGUUGUCCUUUUUGCAGGUCGCUUUAGGUAAGGAUGAUUGG
rnacentral:lncRNA from 1 species